UAUAUUCAUGCCUUUUCGUCUCAGGUGCACAUUGUUUUUGGCGUCUCGUCCUUUCUUGCGGAUUCUUGUUGACUGCUUGUCUUUCAUCUGAAGAAUGAGAGCGGAAAGCUUUCGCUGUCAGUGAGCGUGACGUCUGUUCGUUUUCCAUCACGGGAGGGCCAUUGUUUGUCUCUUGUGCGAGUUUUCGCUUCGACGGUUCUUGUCCACGUUCCCCAGGAUUCGCUUGGCUCCUGCGCGUCCGCUCUCUGUCUCUCUCUCGCCUGCUCACGCCUCCUUUCUUCACUUUGACUGGCCUCGGCGUCUGCGGCUCUUCGACUUCUUCUUUGGGCGUCUCCUCGAAACAGGGAAGCAACCGAGCGCCUCGCCGCAGCCACCCACUCUCGGGUGUACGAACGCGUUCGCAGGGCGCGCGCAAAGUCGCGGACUCCUGACGGGCACUCUGCCUCUGCCUGGACUGCUCCCGCGCGUCUUGGUUUCUGUUUUCAGUGCGUGGAGGUCGAUCUGUGCAUUCGCGACUCGCCUUGGAAACGGUCGCCUGUUCCGGCAGAGGAGACGCCCUUGACGACGCUGUGUCCCCCAGCUCUCC
rnacentral:lncRNA from 1 species